CCAAAGGCUCUUUUCAGAGCCACUCAAAUUAUCAGUGAAGGCUGU
rfam:Sus scrofa chromosome 7.